UUGUUACCCUCACUCCGAGCUGUGAGUACCCAGUUGACCGUGGGUGUCGGCGCAGUUCACCACGCAUAAAGAGUCUUUACUCACGUAAAAAGUCUUCACACGCUCCCUGCUACCAGCGCGGGUCUCGAACUCGGGACCUCAUGAUUCGCAGGCAGGCCUGCAAACCAAUCGGCCAUAUGCGUUGGUACUUUCUGUUUCUGAGACUACAAAACAGAUGAACGUGAAGAGAACGCUUUGGUUGCAAGUGCUCGCGUGAGAAGCACUGCUUCAUGCCGUUGCGGACAAUGCAGCAUGAUGUGGAGCGAGGUCGAGUCGACUUGUUGCUGGGAGGUUCCUGCAGCUUUCAGUAAACGCGGCGAGCAGGAAGGGCUGCAGUGCAUCAUGCAGCACUCAGAGUUUGCUGUUGUUUGCCUGCAAAAAUCAGUGCUCGAGGUGGCAUUGCUUUCCUUCGAAGAAUUUCGGGCAAGGUGUGGACCGUGGUCAAACAGGAUUUGGAGACAUGUGGCGUAUAGACAAUACACAUGGUUCACCCAUGGAUACUUUGGACGCAAGCAGCGGCGUGUGAUACCGUCUUGCGUGGUAUAAGCGUGAUAAAGCAGCUGUACCAGAAGCCAAUGCAGAUGCGCACUGGGGCUUUGAGGAAGCAGUUGGACAUGAUGAUGAUGAUAAUGCUUCUUGGCCUGGUUGACGUUCACAUAAUCAUUGGUACAUGUGCAUGCAGAAUGUAGAAAACAGUUGACAGACACGAUUUAUAACUAUUCUUGA